GAACGAACGCUGGCGGCGCGCCUAACACAUGCAAGUCGAACGAGAAGGCGUAGCAAUACGCUUGUAAAGUGGCGAGCGGGUGAGGAAUACGUGGGUAACCUACCCUCGAGUGGGGAAUAACCAACCGAAAGGUUGGCUAAUGCCGCGUACGCUUCCAUCUCUUCGGAGGUGGAAGGAAAGCUGUACCGUGGGUACAGCGCUCAAGGAUGGGCUCACGUCCUAUCAGCUUGUUGGUAGGGAACGGCCUACCAAGGCAACGACGGGUAGCUGGUCUGAGAGGACGAUCAGCCACACUGGCACUGCGACACGGGCCAGACUCCUACGGGAGCAGCAGUGAGGAAUAUUGCGCAAUGGGCGAAAGCCUGACGCAGCGACGCCGCGUGGGGGA
rnacentral:rRNA from 1 species